GGGGGUGUAGCUCAGUGGUACAGCACUUACCUAGCAUGCAUGAGGUCCAGGAUUCAAUCCCCAGCACCCCUC
rnacentral:tRNA from 1 species